AUGCUUCUCUCCAGCCUUCUGAAGGUGGUCAUGGCUUCAUUGUGGCUAGGAUCCAGUAUUGCCCAGAAGGUAACUCAAGACCAACCAGUAAUAUUAGUGCAGGAGAAGGAGGUUGUGACCCUGGAUUGCAUAUAUGACACAAAUGAGUUCAGUUAUAGUCUAUACUGGUACAAGCAGCCCAGCAGUGGGGCGAUGAUUCUCCUUAUUCGUCAGGACUCUUAUAACCAGCAAAAUGCAACAGAAGGUCGCUACUCACUGAAUUUCCAGAAGGCAAACAAAUCCAUCAAACUUGCCAUCUCAGCUUCACAGCUGGAGGACUCUGCAGUGUAUUUCUGUGCACUGAGUGAGCCCACAGUGAGAGGCGUGUUGGAGGCAGGUAUACCAAAACCCGGGGCUCUGCUUGAUACAUCUGCCUGCUAUAGGGACAAGGGCAGGGAAUUGCCUUCACAGACAGGAACUGGUUAG